AUUGAACGCUGGCGGCAGGCCUAACACAUGCAAGUCGAACGAGUGGCGGACGGGUGAGUAAUGUCUGGGAAACUGCCUGAUGGAGGGGGAUAACUACUGGAAACGGUAGCUAAUACCGCAUACCAUCAGAUGUGCCAAGAUGGGAUUAUCUUGUUGGUGGGGUAACGGCUCACCAGGGCGACGAUCCCCAGCUGGUCUGAGAGGAUGCCCAGCCACACUGGAACUGAGACACGGUCCAGACUCCUACGGAAGGCAGCAGUGGGGAAUAUUGCACAAUGGGCGCAGGCCUGAUGCAGACAGGCCGCGUAUAGGAGGAGGGCCUUCGGGUUGUAAAGUACUUUCAGCGGGGAGGCGUUACCCGCAGAAGAAGCGCCGGCUAACUCCGUGCCAGCAGCCGCGGUAAUUC
rnacentral:rRNA from 1 species